rnacentral:rRNA from 1 species
UAAGGAAUCUUCCACAAUGGACGAAAGUCUGAUGGAGCAACGCCGCGUGCAGGAUGAAGGCUUUCGGGUCGUAAACUGCUUUUAUUAGAGAAGAUUAUGACGGUAUCUAAUGAAUAAGGACCGGCUAACUACGUGCCAGCAGCCGCGGUAAUACGUAGGGUCCAAGCGUUAUCCGGAAUCACUGGGCGUAAAGCGUGCGCAGGUGGUCUGUUAAGUGAGAUGUUAAAUCGUGUGGCUCAACCAUAUCGAUGCAUCUCAUACUGGCAGACUAGAGGAAGGCAGAGGCAAGUGGAAUUGGUAGUGUAGCAGUGAAAUGCGUAGAUAUUACCAGGAACACCAAUGGCGAAGGCAGCUUGCUGGGCCUUAUCUGACACUCAGGCACGAAAGCGUGGGGAGCGAACAGGAUUAGAUACCCCCGUAGUCC